rnacentral:piRNA from 1 species
UGAAACUCACAUGGACAGGCCUGGCUUU